CAGUCACUCUGUGAGUCUUGGAGGAAAAAGGAAGACUAAGGCCCCAUUUCUGUCUCAAAGCAGUGGCUGAUACCUAGACAAGAAGUAGUCAGCAUCCCAGAGGAAGUCAUCUGCGGACCCCAAGAGCCUCUCCGGAGCGAGGAGGACUAUUCUGGUUUUAACAUUGAAAAGUCCUGUGUUUUGAGAAACUCCUUGGUGCAGGACAAAUAGGGAGAGUGAGACACCCGAGGAGGAAAGGACAGUGACUAAUUUCCUUGGAGACAGGAGGGUAUCCAUGGAGGUCCCUGGGCUCAGCCUCGAUGCACCCUCCAUUUCCCCUUAGGGAGUCAUAGGGCAUCAUGGCCUCACGUGCUUUCUGAUUCAGCCCAGAGUAGCUGCAUCCAAGUUUCUCAAGAGUGUGGGAGGCUGGUACAAGUUGUAAUUCUGGGCCUGCUGUCAAGGUAGAAAGCGCAAGGAGUGAGAGUGGUGGGAAAGGAGCCUGGGAGAAAGUUUCACUGGCCACCUCUGCGGUCAAGCCCCAGAUGUGAGAAAAAGCAGUUGGGGGAGCCAGAUGCAGCCCAAGGCCAUCCCAUGACAGAGCUCAGAGCAGCAGAGGGCUUUGAAUCAAGAACAAUGAAUGUCUUUUCAUAUAAGGACUUGGAGCUGGACCACCCCUCAAAAAUCCCCUUGGGUUCAAAGCUGGUGAUCAAAACGGAAGGAAACUCAAAAUUACCACAUGCGUCCUUCCUGCCCUCUGAGGGGAAGAUCUCAUGCUUUUGAGGCAGGAAAGGUAAAGGGGCUUUCAGAUUCUUGAAAAAGCAAUCGUUGGGGUGGAGUUUGACGGUAAAAACAGAUGCCUUGCGCUGUGCUCCUUCCUCCGACCAGAGGGCUGCGAAAGGUCUCACUGGUUGAGUGUUAUUUCAUUUAGCAAGUAUUUAUUGAGAAGUAUUGUGUGUAUCUGACCAGGUUUUCUGGGGAGAAGUCUUGGGAAACUCACAGUUUAUUAAUAAAUACCUUUGGCCCAAUUUUGUAUUUCCUUUU
rnacentral:lncRNA from 1 species